UACGAAGGGGACUAGCGUUGCUCGGAAUUAUUGGGCGUAAAGCGCGCGUAGGCGGUUACUCAAGUCGGAUGUGAAAGCCCUCGGCUUAACUGAGGAAGUGCACCCGAAACUGAGUAGCUAGAGUACCAAAGAGGGUCGCGGAAUUCCCGGUGUAGAGGUGAAAUUCGUAGAUAUCGGGAGGAACACCGGUGGCGAAGGUGGCGACCUGGGUGGAUACUGACGCUGAGGCGCGAAAGCGUGGGGAGCAAACAGG
rnacentral:rRNA from 1 species